CCGGACUCCUCGCAGCCAGGUGGCUUGAAAGCGAUGAAGCUGAUGCACUGUACUUGCCUGGUGUUGUCGAAGCCGAUGAUGCGGACAUAGGCGCCAGGGUAUUCCUUCUUGACCUCCUCCAACUCCUUGAGCACCUGCGUGGCGUCAGUGCACCCGAACAUGGGAAGCUUCCACAUUGUCCAGUACCUCCCGUCCUAGUACCCUGGGGAGUUGCCGUGCUCACGGAAGACGAAACCGACCUUGCUGAACUCGAGGCAAGGAACCCAUUUGGAGCGGAUGAGAUACUCGAUCUGCUUCAGGAGGGACUCCACGGUGAGAGGUGGCAGGUAGGAAAGGGUCUCGAACUUCUUGAUGCCCUCAAUUGGCCACACCUGCAAUUAGAUUAAAAUUAGCACACAAAGUGUGAUUUGAGACACAUAUCGAUGGAGUAUUUCACUUCACACAUAUCGGUAUGAUGAUAUACAUACCUGCAUGCUCGUGAUCCUGCCACCGUUGGAGACGCUGCCGAGGCCAGCGCCGGCAGAGCGGCGGCUGACGGGGAGCCCGGCGGUGGACUUGAGGCCCCGGAAAGGAGCAACAGCGGUAGCCGCCGCCGACAUCACUGUCGGACCCAUAGCAUCCACCCUUGUAUCACUAGAGUAUAUCUACUUAGCUAAUAUGCUAAGUUUGGCACGGAGAGAGGAGGUCGAGUGGACUUCAUUCCUGGUCACAAGGGUUUAUAUAUACCAUAUAACAUACGAGCAAUUUGUGAUUAAUUUGUUGUCGUUCUAGGAGAUGUGGAAAGGGUGGAUGCCGUUCGUUGGUUGCCUUAUCCGUUCUAGAGAAGGGAUGGAUGACCGACGCUCGCUCAGCCGUCUCCUUCGUCCAUCGUUGCCAAUCUUUCUAGCUAUAAUUGGAAGUUCCAAAGGAACAUACGGUUUCAUGCCUACUUCCAUCGGCCUAUCAUGUACCAAUCCAAUAAAAGGACAUCGUUCAACCAUCAAUCCAUGUGUGUGUAGUAAGUGAUUGGCUACGAACCUUCAGCUGACUUGCUUUAUUGGAUAUUUCUGUAAAGCGAGUCCACGGUGUGUGGGUUUAAAAUCUCGUGGCGGCAACUGUUGACGGGUGCAAAUAUCAGUAGCCUUAAAACAAUAAACUUUACUCCGUCCCUUCCGAAAUGCAAGAAUGUCCUAAGUCAAACUUCUUAUGCUGCAGGACCAUAGUUUUUGAGGUGUUCUUCUCACGAGUCCACGAAGAACGGGAAUUUUUUGGUGUCGGGUAAGGGCGGGGGAAUAUAUAGAUGCUAGCAUCAGCAUGACGGGCUAACGGGUCAGGUAGGAUUUUGGACGACGUAGCACCUGACAUGUGGGGGCCACAUGUAAGAAAACCUGUCAAAAUGUCAUAACCCUCUGUUUUGGUCAACUUGAUACAAUCUGAUACAAAACGUGUGGUUUUCCUGACAAAUUAGCAAAUUUUGUGUCUCUGUGAGAAGCACGCCCCAAAAACUGUGGUUCCGUGAAAUUUAUUCACUAGUUACACUUUAUCUACAAACAUCUACGAUUCUAAAAUAGUUUGGUAUAUAUUUUCCGUAAUAUAAUUAUUUGAUAUUCUAAAUUCGGGGAUUUGUUCUUAUAAACUUGGUCGAAGUUUAAAAAGUUUGACUUCGGACAAAGUUACGACUUUUUACAUUUAGGAAUGAAGGGAAUACAUUUUAGUAAAGCAAUUGAGGAAUUGACAGAAUUAAAUAUCUUAAAUUAUACUGGUCCAUCGUGUACUCAUGGCAACAAAAUAAAUUUAUAGUCGAAAAGUUGGACCAUGAAAACUUAAAACGUGAUACAUUAAAAUUGUUGAAUCACUCUACAUCUUGUAAUUUUCUCUUGCAACCUUCUGGCGCGCUACUCAUUCCACAUUUGGUACUAUAUGUAUAAAUGUAUAUAUAUACCGCAUUAGGAGCCUCUAUUACUGUUUUAGUAUAAAUAGCAGUUUCCAUCGACUAUGCACUUCAUUAACUUUUUCUUCACGAGAUAACUUGCUUAUCGAUUUUCUUUAAUUAUCCAGAUGGCUUCUACUAGUUUGUUUCCUUGCUUACUGGGAUUUCCGCAGACUUUACGGUUAGGUAUUAUUGUCGUGUGGACAACACGGUGGCCGGAUGUUGAGAUGAUGAUGUCCUUUAUCUCCGUGUUGCUUCUGAGGACUGCGGAUCCGAGGCUAGUGGCGGUAUGGGAUGCCUCUCUACCUCUUGAUCAGGUCAAUCCGGCUCAGCAAGAGGCGGAUCGAUGGUGGCCGGUGUGACUAGAAGCGGGGAGGUAUAUAUGAAACGUUUCUUGCUUCCAGCAUCUCUUCUAGCGGUAUAUAUGUCGUCAGCUGGUUGAGGGAUUGAUGGCAAUCGAUCAUGGCUACGAUGACAUGUAUACGCGCCGGUAGGAACACAUAUCAGGCAAUGUCGAUGCACCUGCAUUGGGCCCUUGCUGAAGGUGGUGGUGCGUAUGGCAGUCUAAAGAUUUAAGACACAAAUUUAGACUUAAAACUUAAAUAAUCAAUUUGUGCCAGCGGGAAACACACAAACACGUACCGGUAAAUUAUCAUAAUCAGAAUUUGUCGACGAAUUUGAUAUUCUUUUACAAAAUAUACUUAUCUUAAUAUGUAUAACCGGAGUUUAUAUUACAUGCCCCUCUCCCAACGAUAGUUGUAGUACUCUUAUAAUAGUAGUACUCAUGAAUACAGUUAAUCCGGGUUGUUGGGAGAGAUCACAUGCAUAAAUACAACAUGAAACAAACGUGUGAAAAAGGUACAUAAAAUCGGUGUGACCCGUUCUUGUAUUAUAAGAAAUCAACUUGCUUAGGCCUUGCCGGACUCCUCACAACCCGGUGGCUUGAAGGCGAUGAAGCUGAUGCACUGCACUUGCCUGGUGUUGUCGAAGCCGAUGAUGCGGACAUAGGCGUCAGGGUACUCCUUCUUCACCUCCUCCAGCUCCUUUAGCACCUGCGUGGCGUCGGUGCACCCGAACAUGGGAAGCUUCCACAUUGUCCAGUACCUGCCGUCGUAGUACCCGGGAGAGUUGCCGUGCUCACGGAAGACGAAACCGACCUUGCUGAACUCGAGGCAAGGAACCCACUUGGAGCGGAUGAGAUACUCGAUCUGCUUCAAGAGGGACUCCACGGUGAGAGGCGGCAGGUAGGAAAGGGUUUCGAACUUCUUGAUGCCCUCAAUUGGCCACACCUACAAUUAGAUUAAUAAUUAGCACCGAAAGUAUAAUUUGAGACACAUAUCAGUAUUUCACUUCAACAUAUGUACAUGAUGACAUACAUACCUGCAUGCACCUGAUCCUUCCACCGUUGGAGACGCUGCCGAGACCAGCGCUGGCUGAGCGGCGGCCGAUGGGGAGCCCGGCGGUGGACUUGAGGCCCUGGAAAGGAGCAACGGCAGUAGCCGCUGACGACAUCACUGUGGGAGCCAUCGUACACGUACGUAGAUAGCUAACAAGAGGAGGCAGGCUUGCUUGAGUGCUCUCUAGCUACAGCGGCUUAUAUAACUGUAGGCUCCCCACCCAUCCAAUAUCAGCACAAGAUCUAGGAGGGGUGGCUGCAGUUCGCCGCGCGGAUUUGCCCAGGCCACGCUGGCAUCCUACGGAUCAGGUCGGGCGCCACAUGGCCGCACGAAAUGGCGCGCGUUAUCCUCUGGACGGAUACAAUUGGCUGCAACGCACUCUGCAAAUCAUGCCAUGAAGUGACCAAUUUUCACCUAUCAGGAUAGAUCCAAUGUGCCACGGCAUGCACUCAAAAACAGAACUUGCUAAUCCCUCCAAUCCAUAAAAAAUCUCGCCCACUUAUUAGAAAAUUUGUAAUGAGUUAAUGCAAAAUGAGCAGCACUUUUUAUGAACUAGAGGAACAACAAAUUAAGAGAAACUCUUCUAAGAUCUUAUCGAGAACGAAGCUUGCCCCCGCGUCGCUCAGUCUGGGGCGACACGGGCGGCAACCACACCAGCCCCGGCAGCAGCCUCUCCCCGUCCUCUCCUCCCCCUCGCCGCCGCCGGGCAAAGCCCGCACGGGGACGGCGGCGGCGGGGCUGUUUUUCUUGGCGGGGGUGUCCUAGAGCUCUUGGCUGAGGCGUUUGAGGUGCUGCCUCAUCGUGGUCGCGGCGUCUCCGGCCCGAUCCGGCAGGCUAUGCCUCGUCUUCGGCUAGAUCCGGCCGGCUUCCUCCCGGAUCCGGUGUUUCCCCUCGUUCUUCCUCUCCCUGGUGCUCGGUCUGCUCGUGGCUGCGCGGCUUCACGGCGGCGCUCUUCGGCCGGAUCUAGCUACUCGUUGGCCAGAUCCGUCAUCUCCUCCGGCUGAUCCGGCAUGUCCCAGGUCUCUUCGUUUCCAUCAUUUUUCCUCUCAGUUUGGUGAGGCGGCUGAUUGAACUUCACCGGCGGCAGAUGGGCUGCUGCUGCGGCCAUACAUGGUCCAAGUCGGUCCUUUUCGAUGCCAUGGUGGCGUGGUUUUCAUUUUCGGUCGCGUCUUCGGCUGCUGCCCGUGUGCGAGGUAUGGACGUCGGCUCCGGUGUUUGGAGUGUUGCUCUGGAUGAAAACUGCCCGUGUGCGAGGUAUGCCGAAGACAACGAUGUUGUAGCGCCGUUUUCCUUCUUGGAGGUGUCGUCGAAGAGCUUCACUUUCCCUCACUUUGAUGUUUGGUGUCUUCGGGUGAAAACCUAAGAUUUGGCUAUGGCCAGAUCGGGCGACAACGGCGUUUUUACGUCGAUUUCCUCCUUGGGGGCGUUGUCAUGGAGACAACGACUCUUGGUGGCAUCGGGUGGUGUGGUCCGUCUAUGGUGGAGCUUGUUGUCUCGAGUUGUUGAAGGUUUGGUGGUGUCUCUUCUUGUGUCAUGUGUUAGCUUAGGCUGUCGGUUUGUGUCCGGCGAGAACGUGCGUUUCUUAUCCUUUGGUGCGGUUUCGGCAUGUGAUGCCUUUCGUCUUCACUAUCGUCACGUAGGUGUCGUGUUGUAUUCUCGGUGGUGUGUGGUCUUUCGGCUUAGCCAACGGCAAGUGGAGGUAUGAUCUCGGUUGUGUAUUGCCCUUCGACUUCAUCGGCGGCACAUCGGCGUCGCGGUGGGUCUCAGUGACGCGCAGCCCUUCGACUCUGCCGGCUACGUAGGUGUCAUGGUGCGGCCUUGACCCUGUGCUUCCCUUCAGCUACGGCGACGACAUAGUGUCUGGGUGGGCUCGUCAGAUCGACGCCUUUCGACUACAUCAACUAUGCUCUUCAUUGUGCAUUUAUUUUGCCAUUGACAUGUUUCAAGAGUCUAGGUUUUUUCCUUGUGUUUCUUUUAGCAAAUGCUGUUCUGCAGGCUGGCUUUUGCCCACCCGAUCAGAAAAGAAAAACAAAUUAAAGGCUAAAAUCAAGCGAUGUUAUAUUCCCUUAGCUAUUACAAAUAUGGAUGAUAAGAGUUAUUUAUCCUUUUUCAACGAGUAACCCUUUACUUGGAAGUUCCAUGUGCAUGGCGCUGCAAGAAAACAAACAUCAUAAUGGGGCAAGACUUUUUUUUUUAUAAACAUCCAAUUUGGGUUAAAGUCUGAAAGAAUUUGGCUAUCUGAACUUUCAGUUUCCACAUUCUUUUACCUACUCAAUUCUUCAGCCAACAGGAUCAAUGGCGACCUACUAACACCAACCAGAACACAUGGGUCACAAACACGAAAAAGGGCUAGAAGGCUACUUAUACACACUCAUGUGUACUGCGAGCAAAAGAACAUAAUGUACAAAACUUUACAAAAUCUAGGGAAUUAAGACCUUCCCGUAUGCUGUUGCUGCCGCUGCUGCUUCAUGCUGGCUCUCCUGGCAACAUCCCAUGGUUUGUGAGGCACACCUACACCUUGCUGGGAUGCGAAGAACGACUCGUAUCCCGGGGAGUCGAAAGCAAAACCAGUGUGCUUGGAGUUCUCUCGAGGGAGCAUGGAGAUCGCAUAGCUUCUUGCUUCUUCUGGGCUCAAAUGGCUCCUCUCAGGCAGAUGUAUCAUGCUGUAUUCGUGGGGGUCAUCCUUGUGCAUCUCCUGGAUUACUUGGUAGUCAUAGGGAAAGAGCCAUCUUUGGAGCCUGAGAAAGCACACAGCAUCAAAGACAACAAUUGAUUCAGCUACUUCAGUAUGUACAAUGGAAGGAAUAACAAACGGAUGGCAUUAACAAACAUAUAAUUUUGCAAAAGAGCUGGUAUCUUACGAUAGAUACAGGAAAUCACCAAAGAGAGCGAUGACUGGAGCAAGCAUUAGUGUGAGGUAGAAGAAAAAGGUACUCAUCAGAACAUAAAUCACAAAAUAUACAUUUUCCUGCACAAGGUACACAGCAUUAAGUCAAUGCAUUUGUAGCAAGUAAUCGUCAUCAGCAGUGUAAUAGCUACAUUAUUCACCCACCUGUCGGUCAAAUGAUGUCAUUAUCGCAGAAUAUAUGAAGAUAAACAGAAACCAGGCCGCUAUACUGCCAGCUACGCUGAAAUAAUGCCAUCUCGUGAUAGAAUUGCACGACAUGAGGAGACGUAGAUUAACAGUCACCACAACACAAGUAAAGGCCAUCGUGCUAACAUCCCAUUGACCAAGAAUCUUGCCAGAUGAACCGUGACCAUGCUGACUUGCAGCUGCAGUAAAGUAAUAGAACACUAUUGACUGGUAGAAGGCAAAGAAACCCCACACCGCAAUCACUUUCCACCGGAAGAAUGUGUUCCUAAUUCCUUCUUGGUAAAGUUGUGGGUAUUUUUUUGAUAGAGAUGCACUCACAUCCUGAAAGGGUUCAGUUUAGUGAAUGUAGCAAGGAGCGUCACUCCAGAACAAGAAAAGUAGAACAAAUACAAGCAACCAUACCUUAUCAAACAACCCAACCAUAAUUACAGGUAGUGCCGUGAAAAUGACAUUAUACAGAGACUGGAACCAGUCAUCAUAAAAUCGCUGACCAGAAAAGCCAGUUUGGAAAGUGAACCAGAACUGAGUUAGUGUAAAAGUCAGAUUCUUGUAGAAGAAGUAUGUGAUAACCUGAAACAGAAAGUGUCAAUGUUAAAAAAAUUAAACUACACAGAUUGGCAGCUACAAGCUAAGGGACCAAAGCAUACCUUGCACAAUCUCAAGUAUGACCACCGCCCAUGUACAAGAAGUAAAUCCGUAAGAUAUCGAAACUGAGCAAUGGCAAAAUCACUCGCCAUAACAGCUUGCAUUCCUUCUUGUCCGCUGAUGCCAAUACCAACAUGAGCAGCUUGAAUCAUACUCACAUCAUUAGCACCAUCACCAAUACUGAGAGUUAUCUUACGUGCACCUUUCCUAACUAAACUUGCAACCUACAAAUGUGUCAACAUUACAUGUUUUGGCAUCAUUCGAACCCAACAGGUUAUUAGGAAAUAAAUCCAAAAAUAAGAGACUUUGAGAUUGCUGAUGGGAUGGGUAACAACCAAAUAAGCACAUAUACAAUAAGUUAAUUAAUACUACCUUUGUUUCAAAAUAUUAUACCAAAACGUCUUAUAUUUUGAAACAGAGAUAGUACUUAUAGUACAAGAGUGUACAGGACAUUUAGUUAAGAGGCCAAAACUAGAAUAGCAAAAGCAACCAAUGCACAGUGGUUAAUAAUGAUCUUGUGAAUCAUGCACAAACUAUUUUGUUGUCAAGGUACAAAAUUGGAUCCUUUAAAAUGUAAUAAUAUCAAUAUCCCCCGUUUAUUGCCCAAGCAUCCUGAAAGGCAUGCAGCUGAGAGCUGCAGACCAUACUGCUAAUUAUUUCAUGGGAAAAGGCAAGGCAUGCAUGAUAAGAACGCUAAAAGCGAGAAUUGAUAUUUACCUGUGCCUUUUGCAGUGGAGAAACUCGACAACAUACAACUGAUUGGCAAAUUAAACUCAAACCAAGAAGAUUCACACGCAGAGCUGGGUCUAGAGCGUACAUCAAGCAUCGUCCAUCAAUAAUGAAAGCCAACUUUCGUCCUGGCGUGCUCCUCAAAGAACGGUGGGCUUCCUCAAGGUAACUUCUCAGACUCUGUUUUACCGAGUCUUUGAUAACACGUGCAAUUUCCACAGGGUCUCCCUGAAAAUGACUGGAACAUUAUUCAUGGCAAAGAUAUGUGCAUAAGUUGAUUUACAUCAAUCAGAUACAAAUGCUAAAUUGCUAAUUAUGGUUGAUCAAACUGCAAAACACACGAGAUAUCCAAAAGGCUAUAUAAACAUGAUGGAGAGGCUAAAGCACUGAAACAACAGAAUCAACAUAAAGUAUUUUGUACUAUUAUGCAACUAAGCCUUUUGUCCCAAGCAAGUUGGGGCAGGCUAGAUAUGAAACCCAAACAGAAACUAAAGCAAAGUGCAGGUAACAAAAGAGCAAGAGAGUAAAUCAAGGUUCAGGCACAUGGACUGCUGAUUUCCAUGCAGCCCUAUCAAAAGCAAAAUCUCUAGAUACAUUCCAGUCCUUCAAGUCCCUUUAACUGCCUCCUACCAAAAGCAAAUAUCAUAGUAAUCCACCAACCAAAGUAACAAGGGAACUACUUGUAACUUCUUAGUUCACAAGUACAUACCAGUUGAGCUAUCCAAUUAUUCUAAAUAAUAUGGUUUGAUACCUUUACCAAAGUCUCAACUUGUAUUCAUUUUAAAGCUUAUACAAGAUAUUAUAUGUUAUGGCUUAACAGUCUCCAUGACACAAUAUGGCUUGACUUCACAGUUUAAUUCUAUAGGAUUAUCUUACCCUGUCUUCAGCAUCUCUAAUUGCAUCUGUCUCAGAAGUGAUGAUGAAUUGUUUUGUAUCGUUAUUCACCAGGCUGCACGCUGCAGAGCAAAAACUAAAUAACUUCAGAAGCUUUUCUAUGUCAGGUGAAAGAGAGAGAAAAAGACCGCCCGCCCCCCACCAAUAAUCCAAAACUGAGCUUCUAUUAGACCCCUUAAGAACGAAACAAGCAUGCAAAUUGAUCUAUAUAUAAUUAAAACCUCACCAUAUGCUAUAUUAAUUGCUGUUUCCAUUUUAUCUCCAGUUAGCACCCAAAUUUUUAUGCCAGCUGCAGAAAGAGUUUCAAUGCAGGCUGGAACCCCUUCUUGCAGUUUGUCUUCUAUUGCAGUGCACCCUAUCAAUAUAAGGUCCUUUUCAAUCAACUCAGCCACCUACAGGGGAAGAAACAGAAGGAAAUUAUAUGGCAAUGUCCCAGCAAUAUCUUAAAUCAGAAUAUACAUUAAGUCUAUUACUUCAAAUUCCUUUUUCCUAGAAAUCACAGUGAACUUAGUACAUGAAAGAAUGAAAGGAUAAUGCUUUUCUAAUGGGGAUUUGAAAAAACAUCAUAAAAAUAAUAAUAUAAAGUACUGUAUGUUCUUGUUCUAGAUAAAUUACAAAUAUCUUUUGCUCAUGAUCCUCUUUCCUGACUAAAAAAUAUAUAUUAUUAUGUAAAAUACUAAUGUUCUAUGGCAGUACAAGAUAAUAAAUUAGCACAAAAAACUAUUAAACUGCAAAUGUCAGCUGUUAGGGAUGGAUGACAUGACUCCUGUAGUUUUGGGGGGAGAGAGAGAGGAGACACACUGAACAAAUUACUUCCUUCGUCUCCAAAGAUUGCCAUGCCACAUUCUAUUCGGUCAGUCAACCUUUUACAACUUCAAAAUUAACAAUUAUAAGUGAAUUGAAUUACUACAUGAAAAAUAACAGCACUCAAUUUGCUUGCAUAAUAAUUUGUACGCAAAACUUUUGCUUGUAUAUUAGCAUAGAAAUCAUAGCCAGAGUUUUAUGUUGGGAGAAUAUAAAAUUAAAAAAUGGCCUACAUUUGUCAGGUACAUUCAGUUAAUUGUUUCCAAAACCAAAUUAAUUUUCAUACAUAAAUACCAAACGGAUCAAUAGCAUGCUCAACAGUGCACAUGAGACUCGAGUUCAGUACUGGAUGACAGAAAGUAAAAAAAAUCAGGCAAGCACUAGAAGGUGGAGGGGAAG
rnacentral:lncRNA from 1 species